rnacentral:lncRNA from 1 species
AAAAUUUGAACCUAUAAAAUCACUAGUCAAUUCUAGACGAGGGUAUCGUUGUAGUUUAAUGAUAAAAAGAGAGGCAAAAUUGUAAUUAAAUUAACACUAGCUAGGUCACAGGAUGUUCAAAUAUACCUACUUCCCUUGGUGGUGAUUCACAUAUCAUAAUAUCAAUAUCAUAUAUACCAAAUAUGGUCUAAAAUUUAAGUCUCGUUUUUUCUUCUAAGUGUUGCUAAAUUAAUUAAACUUGAUUGCCCAACUGGUUCAUGGAUUUUAACCUCUUGAGGCUCACUGGGGGGGUGGAUUCUUGGUUCCAAUUUCAUGGCAACAGUUUGUGAAAUCUCUAAAAAGUCCUCACUAGUUCUCUUGCUCUUUCUUGCCCUAAUCUUGAUUAUACCUCUCUUACGUCGUCCUCUAGACGUGUCGACCAUAUCAAUGGCUUCCUCAAAAUCAGCUUCUCGAAUCCUUGCAGAGAAAUCCACCAGCAAUUUUCGUCCGGAAAAAAAUGAGAUGAGCACCACCACCACCACCAGCAGCAGCAGCAGUACAAGAAAUGGACAGUUUCAGGCAGCGGCGCAUGAAGUCCCUAGCGGUCCAAAUCCCGACUCCAACAAGUAAGGAACAGGCACAUUUCCAGUAUUAUUAUAUAGGUCAAUAUGACCAUGUAUGUGUUAUUUGCAUGGAUGAUUAUUUAUAGGUAUAAAUUAAUCAUGCUAUAUAUAUAUGUAUGUGUGUGUGUGGGGN